UACCAGCACCCCGAGUGGUCGGGACGAUUAUUGGGCCUAAAGCAUCCGUAGCCGGUCCUACAAGUCUUCCGUUAAAUCCACCUGCUCAACAGAUGGGCUGCGGGAAGAUACUAUAGGGCUAGGAGGCGGGAGAGGCAAGCGGUACUCAGUGGGUAGGGGUAAAAUCCUCUGAUCCAUUGAAGACCACCAGUGGCGAAGGCGGCUUGCCAGAACGCGCUCGACGGUGAGGGAUGAAAGCUGGGGGAGCAAACCGGG
rnacentral:rRNA from 1 species